rnacentral:lncRNA from 1 species
GGAAAGGAAGAAUUCUAACUCCUCCCUUCCGAAAGGUCAGGAAAAGAUGGAAAGAGAGAGCAUCCUACUUUUAAAUUCUUAGAGAGCUGGAGAGAUGGCUCAGUGGUUAAGAGUACAAACUGCCAAGUUCAAUUCCCAGAAUCCACAUUGGACACCUCACAACUACCUGUAACUCCAGCUUCAGGAGGCUUAAUACCUCUGAUUACAGAGGACACCAGCAUCAUGUACAGAUGUGUACACAGACUCACACAUAUACACACAAAAUUAAAUAAAGGUUAAAAUAAAGAAUUUUGAAACAUUUAAAUAAAGAUGUGGCAGAGAGUGGAAUGGCUUAGUUGGUAAAGUGCUUCCGGCACUAGCCUGAGGACCCCAGCAUCCAACAGCAGAUUUCCCUAGGCGGCACACACACACACUCAUGCACACACACACACUCAUGCACACACACACACAUGCAUAAACACACACUCACAUAGACAGAAACAUACACAUGCUCAUACAUGCACGCACAAUCACACCCACACACAUAAACACACACACAGACUUCAGGUGGUUGUCAGGUACAUGCGAAAGGCUCCACUCAUCCAGGCCCCCUUUUCUGGAAGGGCACAGAGCUCAGCCAGGCCUGGGUAUUAGUUACCAGAGUUCUCUGAACCACACAACCUGGUUAUCUUAGAGACGAAGCUUUAGUAAAACCAACCAUUAAGCUUCAUAUCCAAGGAUAAACCUCAGGGCCCAAAGGCAAAAAGAACAGAUUCUGAUAAUGUUUAGAAAGCAAAUUUGGACUCUGGCUUCUCCAAAGUAUCUUGUAGAAAACAGCAUCUCUGAAGACAUCAGGAGAGCAGUUCCAAACUAGCAUGCUGUCCGUAAGUAGCAAGUUUGAGGUGCUUGGCGACUUGGACGAUACUGCAUGUGUGUCCCUAAAUUCAUGUUGUAACCCAAACCCCAAGUACCAUGGAAUGUGAGUUUUAGAGACGGGGCCUUUAAGAAAAAGAUAAAGUAAGAUGAGGGCAUUGUGGGAGGCCCUAACAUCCUUGUAAGAUGGGCUAAGCUAUGCAGAGAUGCACCAGGAUAGUAGGCCACCAGGAGCAGAUAACAGAGGCCUGGGGAGAACCCUUCAUCAUGGACAUGGUCUCCAUGAUCACAGGAAAAUGAAUUUCUGUUACUACAGACACCACUCUUUGGUAUUUUAUUACAGCUGCUCUGGGAAACUAAUAUAGGCAGUGUCUGCAGAUCACAGAGCCACCAUGGACUUGAGCUGACUGUCCCGUGCUUUUGCUUUUCCAGAACUGGGGAUGAACCUGGGCUAGGCAGGGACUGCACCACUGAGCUAUACCCAAUGGCCUUUUCUUCAUUUUAACUAUGCAUGAAUGCAGGUGCCCUCAGAGUCCAGAAGGAUCCAGAUGGAGUUAUCCAUGUGGUUGCUGGAAACUGGAAGAAUGGUGCAUGCUCCUAACUACUGAGCUUCUCUUCAGUUCUUAUUUUGAACAGUUUCGCUAAGUUGCCCAGACUGGCCUCGAACUCAUUUUUGCAGCUAAAACUAGCUUUGCACUGAGUAUCCUCCUGCUUCCAUCUCCUGCCCAGCUCUUCCUUAUUGUAAAGAAGGCAUUUCAGCUCCAAGAUAUUUUCCUGUGCACUAGUGAAUGGAAUGGCCUCUCAAAAAAGCAUCAAGAACUUUUUUGUUUCCAAAAGGUAGGCAGAGACGUUAACUAAAGCCAUUUGGAAAGAGAAGCAUGCACCCUGAACACCAAGAAGAAAAACCAACAGGAACUGGGUGUCAUUGAAACCCCUGGUGGUGGUACACACUUAAUCCCAGCACUCUGAUCACAGAGGCAGGCAGCCUCCGCCAGACAACCAGAACAGCCAGGCCAAACACGAAGGUGCUCUCUCCUUUUCUUAAUAAAAUGUGAAAAUAAAUAAACAACCAAAAAACCCAAGAAACGAAAUGAUGGCAGGGCCACAGAGCAGAGCAGAAGGAAACGUCUGAGAAAUUGGCAGAACAUACAUAGGACAUUGUGAGAAAGGUCCCCUCAGUCCCCAGAACAACGAUGGACUCCCUAUAAUCAGCGGCAUUUAAGGUGGCUGGUUAAACAGUU